AUGUUAGCUUUUGUAAGGAAUUCUGUUUUGAAAAUUAAAGAGGAUUGAGGAGGUUUGCUUCUUCGAGUUGAUGGGGGUCUACUCUCAAAUCUUGGUGUCUUGGUUUUCAGGGAGACAUUUGGAUCUUUCAGUUCAACCUCAGUGUCAGCUGGAAUUCUGUGAAAAAAAAAUGAAGGCUUGGGGAAUAGAUAGGUGUUACAUUAAAUAUUAUCUGCAUUUCUUUCUUCUGGACAUAUGUACCUGCGCUGGAUGCUGCUGUAAUUACUGAAGUUUGCAUCUCUUUUGUAUUCUUGCUGUUGCUCUCUCCACCCCCAACCUUUGCUUUCUCUUCAUUACUCCACAGUUAUUAUUUCCAUUUCUUGUUCUGCACAAAUACUUCAAGAAAAAUGGGCAACACUGCUUUCUCUUAAACCAACAUAAAGGGCAAUGUGUCUUUCCUCCACUCACAGCAGGGGAGGGAAUUGUAAGUUGUGCUUUCAGCCUGGUGCAUGCUGAAGUGAUGCUGCAAGCAGCAAAAUAAAAGCUCUUUCAACUGUUUGGCUGCUUUACAGCAACGCAGUGUAGUACAGCAAGUAUCAAAGAUCUGAAGUACUCAGUGAUACAGGUAGUUGCUUUGUCCUCUGUGUCAUCACAGCAUCACAGCCUGUAACUGGAGAUUGAUUCAGACUGAAUAGCGAGGAGGCAGCGCAAUCAUCCCUUGAAGAACAUGCUCAUUUCAUCUCACCUUGGAGAGAAAAUUUAUACUGAUGUCAUAGCUAGAUUUGAAACCUACAUCAUGUGUAAUUGCUAUUGCAAAUCUGGUGGAAUAGCCUGAAAACUGCAGGAGUCCAACAUGCUGCUGGGAGAGCUGAGCUGACUGACGGUAUCAGAUUCUGAAUGUUCUCUGGUGCUGUCUCACGAUUAAAGAAAGUAUCUUUUCAGGAUGCUUUUGUUCAGAAUAAGAAAAUAAUAAAGGGAAAUCUGAUACUGAGUAUUUUUAA